GACGAACGCUGGCGGCGUGCCUAAUACAUGCAAGUGAAGUUCAGUGGCGGACGGGUGAGUAAUACGUGGGUAACCUGCCCUCCUUUUUGGGAUAAGCCUUGGAAACGGGGUCUAAUACCGAAUAAAGGGGGUUGGGCUCGCGGCCUAUCAGCUUGUUGGUGGGGUGGUGGCCUAACAAGGCGGUGCCGGGUAGCCGGCAGGAGAGGGGGCACGGGCACAUUUGGACUGUGAUACGGCCCAGACUCCUAAGGGAGGGGGGAGGGGGGGAUAUUGCACAAGGGGCGAAAGCCUGAUGCAGCGACGCCGCGUGGGGGAUGAAGGCUUUCGGGUUGUAAACCUCUUUCGCUAUCGAAAGGGUAGGUGGAGAAGAAGCGCCGGCUAACUACGUGCCAGCCGCCGCGGUAAUUC
rnacentral:rRNA from 1 species